rnacentral:rRNA from 1 species
GAAGAAAGCUGGCGGCGUGCUUAACACAUGCAAGUCGAGCGGUAAGGCCUCUUCGGGGGUACCCGAGCGGCGAACGGGUGCGUAACACGUGGGUGACCUGCCCUCAGCUCUGGGAUAAGCCUGGGAAACUGGGUCUAAUACCGGAUAUGACCACAUGUUUCAUGGUGUGUGGUGGAAAGUUUUUUCGGCUGGGGAUGGGCCCGCGGCCUAUCAGCUUGUUGGUGGGGUGAUGGCCUACCAAGGCGACGACGGGUAGCCGGCCUGAGAGGGUGACCGGCCACACUGGGACUGAGAAACGGCCCAGACUCCUACGGGAGGCAGCAGUGGGGAAUAUUGCGCAAUGGGCGGAAGCCUGAAGCAGCGACGCCGCGUGGGGGAUGACGGCCUUCGGGUUGUAAACCUCUUUCGACCGGGACGAAGCGUAAGUGACGGUACCGGUAGAAGAAGCACCGGCCAACUACGUG